AACAGUUCAAUUACAACAUCUGUUGUCAAUUAAAGUGCUCUUGUAAUUCUGUCCUCUUUAUUAUCGUCCUUAUGUUAUUACAGUCCAUAAUCUAUUAAAAGGUUGCAAUAUAUCACAAUAACUUAAAGUUCCUAAUUUGUGCGUAAUAUUGAUUCAUGUCCUGAGAAUAUUGUCAAAUAAAGUCAACUUUUGAAAGUGCCGUUCAAAGAACUGCUAUGUACACUAUCAAUAACACAGAAGAAGAGCUAUGAACCAUAAAUAAAAUAAUUGACCACUUACGGAAAGAGGUGCAUCAAUAUUUACUUGAAACUUAAUUGUAUUUGUGUAUCUACCAGUUGAUAAAGUAACAGAAAGAAAUGCGUUCGUUUAUUUUGUUACUCACAACAUUGGUUGCAAUUAGCCCAAUUUGCUGUUUCAAAAUCCGACGAUUUCCAUCGAAUUUCAAAUUUGGUUUGGCAACAGCUUCAUAUCAGAUUGAAGGAGGAUGGAAUGCUAGUGGAAAAGGAGAGAACAUCUGGGACCAUUUUACUCAUAAGUACCCAAGUAAAGUAGAAGAUCAUACCACAGGAGACAUCGCUUGUGACUCAUAUCAUCUUUGGAAAGAAGAUGUAAAAUUACUAAAAGAUAUUGGAGUACAUUUCUACCGAUUUUCCUUAUCCUGGUCAAGAAUUCUCCCUACGGUACACUGAUGGUGUAACGAAAUUAACCCCGAUGGCCUUCGUUAUUAUAACAACCUGAUAGACGCCCUAUUAGAAAAUAAUAUAGAACCUGUAGUGACAAUGUACCAUUUCGAUCUGCCUCAAGACCUACAAGAUUUAGGUGGAAUGGCAAACCUCAAAAUUGCAGAAUAUGCGGUUGACUAUGCCAGGGUUCUUUUCAAAAAUUUCGGAGACAGGGUUAAAUGGUGGAUUACUUUUAAUGAGCCCCUAACGUAUUGCUCCUUUGGGUAUACUGGUGUUAUAGCACCGGCUAUUAUAUCACCCGGUGUCGGAGUCUAUCUGUGCGGGAAAACUAUCCUUGUAGGACAUGGAAUGAUAUACAGGAUGUACAAAAAGGAAUUUAAAGAGAAACAGAAUGGAAAAAUUGGCAUCACAAUCAAUACAUACUGGUUUCAACCAAAGACUUCAUCACCUGAAGAUAUUGAAGCCACAAAGCGAACACGGGAAAUUUUAUUUGGAUGGUGGAUGAAUCCGAUCUUCUCGAAGGAAGGAAACUACCCACAACUGAUGAUUGACAGGAUCGGCAACGUCAGUAAGGGCGAAAACUUUUCCGAAUCCCGACUACCUCCGCUUACCAAAGACCAAAUUAAAUUAAUAAGAGGUGCUUUUGAUUUCUUGGGCCUAAAUUAUUAUACAGGCAAAACUGUCCGAGCCAACUUAGUUCCCCCUUACAAUCCACCCACCUUGGAUCAAGAUACGGGAGCAACUGUAGAAAGUAUUAAAGGUCUCGAACGCAGUGGUGCAGCAUGGCUUGACGUUUACCCAGAAGGCCUGGAAUAUUUACUGGAAUGUAUAAAAACUGAUUACCAUAAUCCACCUAUUCUUAUCACUGAAAACGGUUAUCCUGAUAACGAUGGCCGACUCAACGAUCCUAGACGAAUCAAUUAUAUACAGAAGCAUGUGAUCGCAAUUUUAAAAGCAAUAAAGAAAGGUAGCAAAGUAUUUGGCUACACCUACUGGGGUAUGAUGGAUGAUUUUGAAUGGAACAGCGGAUACACGUACAAAUUUGGAGUAAUUCAGGUAAACUUCACCAGCCCAAAUAGAACGCGUACUCUGAAAUUAUCCGCACAUUUUUUCAAAGUCCUUACAGAAUGCAGGGUAGUUCCCUCAGGGGACAUUGCUAAAUGUGCAAUUCCUAUUUUUGAUAUUUCAGGAAAAGUAGGAAUUACAAUAGAUUCACGAUGGGGCGAACCCAAAACAACUUCACCAAAAGAUAUUGCAGCAGCUGAACGUGCGAUACAAAUGAAUUUUGGAUGGUGGAUGAACCCAAUAUUUUCAAACGACGGGGAUUUCCCCAAAGUAAUGAAAGACAGAAUAGAAUUUGUUAGUAAAUCUCAAAACUUCAACGAGUCCAGAUUGCCCACUUUAACAUCUUCAGAAAUUAAAUACAUUCAAGGAACCUAUGAUUUCCUCGGAUUAAACCAUUACACAACAAGAUUUAUCGAAGAAGGUAAUUUAACUCCUUCUCAAGUACCAUCGUUUGAUGACGAUGUUGGAGUUAAAGCAGUAGUAGACCCAAAAUGGAAACAAUCAGCUGCCGACUGGAUAUUUGUAGUUCCCUGGGGAUUUAGAAAACUCCUCAACUGGAUACGUGUGAAAUACAAUAACCCUUUGGUUUUUGUCACCGAAAAUGGGUAUGCUGAUAAGGGAGAAGUGAACGAUGUCGGCAGAGUUGACUACCAUAAUCAAUAUCUGACACAACUGCUGCAUGCAAUUGAGGACGGUUGCAAUGUGCAACGCUAUACAAUAUGGAGCUUAAUUGAUAAUAUGGAGUGGUCAUCCGGCUACACGGCUAAAUGUGCAAUUUCUAUUUUUGAUAUUUCAGGAAAAGUAGGAAUUACAAUAGAUUCACGAUGGGGCGAACCCAAAACAACUUCACCAAAAGAUAUUGCAGCAGCUGAACGUGCGAUACAAAUGAAUUUUGGAUGGUGGAUGAACCCAAUAUUUUCAAACGACGGGGAUUUCCCCAAAGUAAUGAAAGACAGAAUAGAAUUUGUUAGUAAAUCUCAAAACUUCAACGAGUCCAGAUUGCCCACUUUAACAUCUUCAGAAAUUAAAUACAUUCAAGGAACCUAUGAUUUCCUCGGAUUAAACCAUUACACAACAAGAUUUAUCGAAGAAGGUAAUUUAACUCCUUCUCAAGUACCAUCGUUUGAUGACGAUGUUGGAGUUAAAGCAGUAGUAGACCCAAAAUGGAAACAAUCAGCUGCCGACUGGAUAUUUGUAGUUCCCUGGGGAUUUAGAAAACUCCUCAACUGGAUACGUGUGAAAUACAAUAACCCUUUGGUUUUUGUCACCGAAAAUGGGUAUGCUGAUAAGGGAGAAGUGAACGAUGUCGGCAGAGUUGACUACCAUAAUCAAUAUCUGACACAACUGCUGCAUGCAAUUGAGGACGGUUGCAAUGUGCAACGCUAUACAAUAUGGAGCUUAAUUGAUAAUAUGGAGUGGUCAUCCGGCUACACCUUAAAAUUCGGUCUAUACCACGUCGACUUCAACAGCUCUACUAGAACCCGAACACCAAAAAAAUCUGCCAGUUUCUAUAAAAGUGUUAUCAACUACAGAGGCUUGCCAAAGUUUACUAAGGGGAAGCUCUAUUCGUAGAAAUAUAUUACAGGGGCAAAAAGUGAUAUUACGUAUUAGGUUCUGAAUGCUUGCCAAGCAUUCGGUGAAGUUUUGUACUUUACAAAGUCUACAACUGCAGUAAUCAAUUUUAAUUUGACAAAAAGAAAAAAGUUCGAUCAAUAAAAUCAACGAAAAGUGAGUUAGUACAUUUGAAAAACUACAUACAUAUAUAUAGUUUUAGAUAAAGGUACUAUUUUGUUGAAAAGUAAAUUAUUUUAAUGAAAAACUAGUGAUAACAUAUUUAAACCUAUAUUCGAUUAGUGCAUACAAAUCUAUGUCAAAUUUCGAUUAGUUUUUAUCAUCAAAAUGAUCGGUACGAAAAUAAUAAAUGGUCAGUAUGGAAAUGCUAAACGGUCAAUAAUUGUGUAGGUAUUAAUUGUUUUGUUAGUUAUCUAGUUUACAUUUAAAUAGUGACCUCUUUGAUUCAAAUUCUAACCAUUUAUACUUAAAUACUAAUCCUUCAUAUUUGCAUACUUUCCAUCAAAGGAUACCGACCAUAUGGAUUUAUAUACUACCCACUAAACUAAAAUCCAUUUGAAACUACUUAAUUUUGAUAAUACGCAGUAGUACAUAAUAUUCUUUUUUAUCUAAAUAAAAUAUAAAAUAAAAAGUUAGCUAAUGUAUUCUUAUAUUAAAUGCAUGUUUCCUA